AUAAAUGACCACCUAUUUCACAUGCCAGAGAUAGCACCAACCAAUAACAGUAACACUGCAGUUAACUUCAAAAUAUCUUAACAUUUAUCACUUCACGUCUUUACAGUAUGGUGAAGUAGGUAAAAGAAAGAUUGUGAUCCUCUGUGGACACGAUUGCUUCCAUUUAGUCUGAAAGAGUGUCAAUUAAAAUUAGAAGCAUUUUCUCCCUCUACAAGCAAGUAUCAGCAAUGAAAUGUCAUUCCCCUCCAGCUUAAGGCAACCCAGUUUGAGAUACAGGAAUGCACACACAGAGCACCCUCCCAGCCACACUCCGUGUUCACACUUACCAUGGCACAGAUUUAUCCAUCAUGGUUGGUUACAACCAACGAGGCACCAGGAUGUUGCUACCCAACACAGGUUGGCUGCUUACUUUCUACUGACUUGGCAAUCUGAAUCUUCUUUUCCAGCUUCCUGUGCUGUACUGCCUGAUACCAGAGAUGUUUACAUGAGGUUUAACUUUCAGGCUGCCUGUUUGGCCUGAUGGCAAACACCAGAAAGAAAGGAACACAGGAAACCACCACCUCUGCUGCUGAUUCUAGCUCCAAGGUUCAUGCCAAAAGAUGCAGGGUCACAGUUCUCAUUUUGUUGAGCACUGUCCAGCUUUACCCGAUUGCAUUCCCAAAAAACGUGCGUGCUAGGAACCCCAGAUUACACCUUUGCCUCUGUGGCCUUGCAUGUGUCCUACAGGAAAACAUAUUAGAAUUUCUGCACAUUUACUGCAUGCAUCUCAAGUGCAUUUCUACUUGUACCUAUCUGGGUUUUUUAGUCACUGCCAGGGAUUUCCCUACAUGGGGACUUUCAAAGAAGUAAGCAAAUUACUUAAGAAAAAGAACACAUUACACCAAUAAAGAAAACCCACUAAAAACCACAACACUUACUUUCUGCUCCUUCAUCCCCAUACUCUGGAACAAACUGCUCCACCUCUAUUGCAGGCAAAGAGCAUGUCUGGUAACAAAUCCUGAGUGAAACAGACAACAGUCAUGUCUUUUGUAAUACACGCAUCCAUUGCCAAAUCCAUCGAUCCCCAGAGGAUUAUAUAAAAAUCAUAAUAUAAAGGUCAUUUGCAAAAUCUGGCUGCUUUAUCAGGUGAGAAGUAAUUAAACUAAACAGCCAGCGGGGUUUAUGAGGAUAUGACACAUGACACCUUCCAGCUUCCUGAUGUGUGCCACGCUACCCAGCAGCGUAUAUAUAGACGCCGGCCGUCCAGGCAGCGCUAUCACCGCAGCCAGCCGACUUCUCCUGACCCACUGACCAGCCGCUCAACAUGCAACCCAAAGGCGUCUCGCUCAAAAUGAAGCUCCUCCUGCUGUCUUGCAUCGUGAGCAUGGUCCUUGCUGUCGCCAAUGCUGAUCACCACGACAGUGAUAGCUCUAGUGGGGACAGUUCGGAGGAGAAGCCAAGACGACCCUUCCGGCCCUUUCGCCCCAUAUUUCGCCCCAUCCUGAGAAGGGGCAGGGCUGUGAGCUAUUACGCAUGACAAGUCUGAGGUAAGCAACCUAUCUUGCUGUACAAAAAUACAUCUGCUCUAUCAUGACAUUUUCCCAGUUCUCACUGUUAAUAUUUUAAUUGUGCAAGAAAUUUUGUGGCCCAAGCAAGAACUGAGAUCUAGAUAUGAAGAUACUGGAACAGGCGUAAAGCAGUGGUGCUCUGCACAAUGUACUGUGUAACAUCAGGUACUCCAGCUGAAAAUGGUCUAGCCGGAAAUCUUUCUUGGGAACAAACGACUACCAAAAAACAUAUCCAAGCCCCCGUGCCCCUGCCAGACUGGCUUGAAUAGAAAACUGCUAAGGACA